UACGAAGGGGGCUAGCGUUGUUCGGAAUUACUGGGCGUAAAGGGCGCGUAGGCGGUGUGUCAAGUCAGGCGUGAAAGCCCCGGGCUCAACCUGGGAACUGCGUUUGGUACUGGCAAGCUAGAGUACGGCAGAGGGGGGUGGAAUUCCACGUGUAGCAGUGAAAUGCGUAGAUAUGCGGAGGAACACCGAUGGCGAAGGCAAUCCCCUGGACCUGUACUGACGCUCAUGCACGAAAGCGUGGGGAGCAAACAGG
rnacentral:rRNA from 1 species